UCGCGAUACAUGCUUAAGAUAAUUGUGUGCACAUACUUUAAUAGGUCCGAUCAUACCAGCACUUAUGCACCAGAUCCCAUCAGAACUCUGCAGUUAAGCGUGCUUGGGCGAGAGUAGUACUACGAUGG